GCGCUAGAGCCACAUCCGGAGCAUCAGUAAAACUCGACGCAGUGCCAGACUCGACUACAAACAAGCCUGCGCUAUCAGAGGAGGAAAUGGAGAAACGCUCUGAAUCCAUUAUUGAGGAGUUUCUACACAUAAAUGAUUACAAAGAGGCCUCGCAUUGCGUGGAGGAACUGGACCAGCGGGAU